AUUGAACGCUGGCGGCAGGCCUAACACAUGCAAGUCGAGCGAGCGGCGGACGGGUGCGUAAUGUAUGGGGACUGCCCGAUCGAGGGGGAUAACUACUGGAAACGGUAGCUAAUACCGCAUACUAUCGGAUAACCCAUAUGGGAUUAGCUAGUAGGUGGGGUAAUGGCUUACCUAGGCGACGAUCCCUAGCUGGUCUGAGAGGAUGAUAAGCAACACUGAGACUGAGACACGGCCCAGACUCCUACGGAGGCAGCAGUGGGGAAUAGUGCACAAUGGGCGCAAGCCUGAAGCAGCCAUGCAGCGUGUAUGAAGAAGGCCCUAGGGUUGUAAAGUACUUGCAGUCUGGAGGCGUUGCCGACAGAAGAAGCACCGGCUAACUCCGUGCAAGCAGCCGCGGUAAUUC
rnacentral:rRNA from 1 species